CUACCUAUAAGACUGGGAUAACUUCGGGAAACCGGAGUUAAUACCGGAUAAUAUAUUGAACCGCAUGGUUCAAUAGUGAAAGACGGUUUUGCUGUCACUUAUAGAUGGAUCCGCGCCGCAUUAGCUAGUUGGUAAGGUAACGGCUUACCAAGGCAACGAUGCGUAGCCGACCUGAGAGGGUGAUCGGCCACACUGGAACUGAGACACGGUCCAG
rnacentral:rRNA from 1 species